GUGGGCUUUUUUCAUAUAACUAUUAUGUGGAAGUAUACUUCUCUGUACCUACUUUUGAGUUCUUUUUACAAGUGAAUGUCCCUUUAACUUUAAGCAUUUUUCUAUCCAGAUGUUGAUGAAGGAAUGAUUGCACUUGAACUGAUAUCAAAGAAAUAAUUGUACAGGCAAAACUAAAGAGUAGCCACUUGAAGUAUGACCAAGAAGAAAGUUCUACAUUUCAGCUCCCUUCAGAUUAAAGUCAUCCCUGUUCCCUCGUCCAGUGACAAACACUCAACAAUGAAGCCGAUAUAGCCAUUAUUGUACUUGUAAUGAAGCUGUGUUUCAAUACAGGGGAUACUCAGGUUCAAAAGGAGAUGUCAGAAGAACAAGAUGAUGGAGCAGUGGCAGGCAUGACCAGAGGCUGUGAUUAUGUCAACAACAAAAGCAAACUUGAAGAAGAAGAACAAAGCUUAGCAGUUAAAGAUGUCUCAGUACACGAGCAAGAGAAAUGCCUGGCAGGUGGGGAGCAGAGGGCAUGAGGUCCACAGUGGAAAUGAGAAAGAAAGGUGAGGAUAUCACCCUGAGGACCAGGAUAUGCUUCUUUCAGCAGGGGAAACGCACUGAGAAGCCAAGGGUCCUAAGGUGGGACGUGUGUGUGUGUGUGUGUGUGUGUGUGUGUGUGUGUAUUUAUAUAUAUGACCUCUUUGAAUAGUUUUCUCUUUCUGUUAUUCCUACGAAACCAUUGAGGUCAAGAAGUGUUUACAAGUUACACAGGAAUAGUAGCUGGAGCUGAGAGCUUAUGUCCAUAAAGUAAAGUAAUGAUUUCUACUCCAGUAAGCCAAGCACUUAUAUAAAAGCACCUUCAGGGGAUAUUUGUGUGUGUGUUUGUGUAUGUAUAUGUAUAUAUGUGUGUAUGUAUAAGUGGAUAUAUAUACAUGUAUAUAUACAUAUACACACACACACAUCCCUAUAUUAAGCUAUAUACUGAAGAACCAGCAGGAAUUGAUACUGUACUAUCUGGAACACUAAAAGAAUAAAAGACACAGCUAUUUGUGAGCA
rnacentral:lncRNA from 1 species